UGGAGCAGUUUGACCUGCUGGUUCAACAGGUCAGAGGCCUCACCGAAGCAGUGCAGGCCAUGCAGCAGCAGCCGCAGCAGCCGCAGGCAUCGAUGCGGCUGGAAAGAGCAUUGCCAAAGUUCUAGAAUCUGAUGAUCGGGCGGGCCACAUGGGCCAGCCACCCUGUCUUUCCCAGAAAAGAAAAAUAGAAGGCCAAGAGUCCUCCGUCCGAUCAUGAUUCAACCCCCGGAGAGUCCUUACCUCCGCUCCACCAAAAGACCCUCGAGGCCCGCAAUCGAGAGGACCUCCUGAAUCAGAGAUUCCAGGAGAUGAACCGAUAGAUCGAAGAGCUCUGCCGCACUCCCACUGCUUACGGUGAGGACAUCUGCACUGACCCUCCUUUCUCUCAAAUGAUCAUGCAGGAACCAAUCCCGCCAAACUUCAAGCUCCCCUAAU
rnacentral:lncRNA from 1 species